rnacentral:tRNA from 1 species
AUAUAUAAAGUAAUUAUUUACGUUUAAUUUCGGCUUAAAAUUUUUGAUUUAUGUCAUAUAUAUA